rnacentral:rRNA from 1 species
GCCGGUGAGUGAUGAAGGCCUUAGGUUGUAAAGCUCUUUUACCCGGGAAGAUAAUGACGGUACCGGGAGAAUAAGCCCCGGCUAACUUCGUGCCAGCAGCCGCGGUAAUACGAAGGGGGCUAGCGUUGUUCGGAUUUACUGGGCGUAAAGCGCACGUAGGCGGAUCUUUAAGUCAGAGGUGAAAUCCCAGGGCUCAACCCUGGAACUGCCUUUGAUACUGGGGAUCUCGAGUCCGGGAGAGGUGAGUGGAACUGCGAGUGUAGAGGUGAAAUUCGUAGAUAUUCGCAAGAACACCAGUGGCGAAGGCGGCUCACUGGCCCGGAACUGACGCUGAGGUGCGAAAGCGUGGGGAGCAAACAGGGUUAGAUACCCUGGUAGUCCACGCCGUAAAACGAUGGAUGCUAGCCGUUAGGCAG